rnacentral:rRNA from 1 species
GCAGUGGGCGGGCGUGCUAUACAUGCAAGUCGAGCGAACAGAUAAGGAGCUUGCUCCUUUGACGUUAGCGGCGGACGGGUGAGUAACACGUGGGUAACCUACCUAUAAGACUGGGAUAACUUCGGGAAACCGGAGCUAAUACCGGAUAACAUUUGGAACCGCAUGGUUCUAAAGUGAAAGAUGGUUUUGCUAUCACUUAUAGAUGGACCCGCGCCGUAUUAGCUAGUUGGUAAGGUAACGGCUUACCAAGGCGACGAUACGUAGCCGACCUGAGAGGGUGAUCGGCCACACUGGAACUGAGACACGGUCCAGACUCCUACGGGAGGCAGCAGUAGGGAAUCUUCCGCAAUGGGCGAAAGCCUGACGGAGCAACGCCGCGUGAGUGAUGAAGGGUUUCGGCUCGUAAAACUCUGUUAUUAGGGAAGAACAAAUGUGUAAGUAACUGUGCACGUCUUGACGGUACCUAAUCAGAAAGCCACGGCUAACUACGUGCCAGCAGCCGCGGUAAUACGUAGGUGGCAAGCGUUAUCCGGAAUUAUUGGGCGUAAAGCGCGCGUAGGCGGUUUCUUAAGUCUGAUGUGAAAGCCCACGGCUCAACCGUGGAGGGUCAUUGGAAACUGGGAAACUUGAGUGCAGAAGAGGAAAGUGGAAUUCCAUGUGUAGCGGUGAAAUGCGCAGAGAUAUGGAGGAACACCAGUGGCGAAGGCGACUUUCUGGUCUGUAACUGACGCUGAUGUGCGAAAGCGUGGGGAUCAAACAGGAUUAGAUACCCUGGUAGUCCACGCCGUAACGAUGAGUGC